rnacentral:rRNA from 1 species
CCCUUAGAUGUUCUGGGCCGCACGCGCGCUACACUGAUGCAUUCAACGAGCCUAUCCUUGACCGACAGGUCCGGGUAAUCUUUGAAUCUGCAUCGUGACGGGGAUAGAUUAUUGCAAUUAUUAAUCUUCAACGAGGAAUGCCUAGUAAACGCAAGUCAUCAACUUGCAUUGAUUACGUCCCUGCCCUUUGUACACACCGCCCGUCGCACCUACCGAUUGAAUGGUCCGGUGAAGCCUCCGGAUUGGCGCGCACCUCGGUGCCGCCGAGAAGUUGGCUAAACCUUACCAUUUAGAGGAAGGUGAAGUCGUAACA